rnacentral:miRNA from 1 species
UUAUCAGACUUGUUGCAAGGUUGUUCCAAGAAGUACGAUACAGUCAUGAUAUAACAAUAUUGUUACAACUUCGUGUCGUCAACCUUGUAACAUUCUUGUUAUAUCACGACUGUAUCAGACUUGUUAGAACAACCUUGUAACAAGUCUGAUAA